GUCUGGCUGGCUCAGUCGGAAGAGCAUGAGACUCUUGAUCUCGGGGUUGUGGGUUCAAGACCCAUGUUGGACA